UACGUAGAGGGCAAGCGUUGUCCGGAAUCAUUGGGCGUAAAGAGCGUGUAGGCGGUCCAAUAAGUCGGCUGUGAAAGUCAAGGGCUCAACCCUUGAAUGCCGGCCGAUACUGUCGGGCUAGAGUCCGGAAGAGGUGAGUGGAAUUCCUGGUGUAGCGGUGAAAUGCGCAGAUAUCAGGAGGAACACCAAUGGCGAAGGCAGCUCACUGGGACGGUACUGACGCUGAGACGCGAAAGCGUGGGGAGCAAACAGG
rnacentral:rRNA from 1 species